rfam:Haloterrigena limicola JCM 13563 contig_29, whole genome shotgun sequence.
CCUGCACGGUACCGGGCCGCAGGUCGGGAUGUGAUCCGCGGGGCAUGUGCCCCGGUCGGGAUUGAACCAGGAA